rnacentral:rRNA from 2 species
AGUCAAGUAAUUAAGUGCAUGUGGUGGAUGCCUUGGCAGUCAGAGGCGAUGAAAGACGUGAUAGCCUGCGAAAAGCUCCGGGGAGGCGGCAAAUAUCCUUUGAUCCGGAGAUGUCUGAAUGGGGGAACCCACCUACUUUAAGGUAGGUAUUGCAACAUGAAUACAUAGUGUUGCAAGGCGAACGAGGGGAAGUGAAACAUCUCAGUACCCUUAGGAAAAGAAAUCAAUUGAGAUUCCCUCAGUAGCGGCGAGCGAACGGGGAUCAGCCCAUUAAGUUAUGUGUGUUUUAGUGGAACGCUCUGGGAAGUGCGAACGUAGAGGGUGAUAUUCCCGUACACGAAAGGGCACACAUAAUGAUGACGAGUAGGGCGAGGCACGUGAAACCUUGUCUGAAUAUGGGGGGACCAUCCUCCAAGGCUAAAUACUCCUGACUGACCGAUAGUGAACCAGUACCGUGAGGGAAAGGCGAAAAGAACCCCUGUGAGGGGAGUGAAAUAGAUCCUGAAACCGCAUGCAUACAAGCAGUGGGAGCACCUUUGUGGUGUGACUGCGUACCUUUUGUAUAAUGGGUCAGCGACUUAUAUUCAGUAGCGAGGUUAACCGUAUAGGGGAGCCGUAGAGAAAUCGAGUCUUAAUAGGGCGUUUAGUUGCUGGGUAUAGACCCGAAACCAGGCGAUCUAUCCAUGAGCAGGUUGAAGGUUGGGUAACACUAACUGGAGGACCGAACCCACUGUCGUUGAAAAGCCAGGGGAUGACUUGUGGAUAGGGGUGAAAGGCUAAUCAAGCCUGGUGAUAGCUGGUUCUCCCCGAAAGCUAUUUAGGUAGCGCCUCGGACGAAUACCAUAGGGGGUAGAGCACUGUUUCGGCUAGGGGGUCAUCCCGACUUACCAAACCGAUGCAAACUCCGAAUACCUAUGAGUACUAUCCGGGAGACAGACUGCGGGUGCUAACGUCCGUAGUCAAGAGGAAAACAAUCCAGACCGCCAGCUAAGGCCCCAAAAUCAUAGUUAAGUGGGAAACGAUGUGGGAAGGCAUAGACAGCUAGGAGGUUGGCUUAGAAGCAGCCACCCUUUAAAGAAAGCGUAAUAGCUCACUAGUCGAGUCGGCCUGCGCGGAAGAUGUAACGGGGCUAAAACUAUGUGCCGAAGCUGCGGAUGUAUACUUUGUAUACGUGGUAGGGGAGCGUUCUGUAAGCCGAUGAAGGUGUGUUGAGAAGCAUGCUGGAGGUAUCAGAAGUGCGAAUGCUGACGUGAGUAACGACAAAACGGGUGAAAAACCCGUUCGCCGAAAGACCAAGGGUUCCAGUCCAACGUUAAUCGGGGCUGGGUGAGUCGACCCCUAAGGCGAGGCCGAAAGGCGUAGUCGAUGGGAAAAUGGUUAAUAUUCCAUUACUUCUGUGUAAUGCGAUGAGAGGACGGAGAAGGCUAAAUCAGCCUGGCGUUGGUUGUCCAGGUGAAAGGAUGUAGGCAUGUAUCUUAGGCAAAUCCGGGGUACUCUAUGCUGAGAUCUGAUAGCAAGCUGUACUUGUACAGCGAAGUGGUUGAUGCCAUGCUUCCAGGAAAAGUCUCUAAGCUUCAGUUACACAGGAAUCGUACCCGAAACCGACACAGGUGGUCAGGUCGAGUAGACCAAGGCGCUUGAGAGAACUCUGCUGAAGGAACUAGGCAAAAUGGUACCGUAACUUCGGGAGAAGGUACGCUGUUGUUGGUGAUGGAACUCGCUUCCUGAGCUGACGACAGCCGCAGAAACCAGGCCGCUGCAACUGUUUAUUAAAAACAUAGCACUCUGCAAACACGAAAGUGGACGUAUAGGGUGUGAUGCCUGCCCGGUGCUGGAAGGUUAAUUGAUGGGGUUAGCGUAAGCGAAGCUCUUGAUCGAAGCCCCAGUAAACGGCGGCCGUAACUAUAACGGUCCUAAGGUAGCGAAAUUCCUUGUCGGGUAAGUUCCGACCUGCACGAAUGGCAUAAUGAUGGCGGCGCUGUCUCCAGCAGAGGCUCAGUGAAAUCGAAAUCGCUGUGAAGAUGCAGUGUACCCGCGGCUAGACGGAAAGACCCCGUGAACCUUUACUGCAGCUUGACACUGAACUUUGACCUUACUUGUGUAGGAUAGGUGGGAGGCUUUGAAGCUGGAACGCUAGUUCCAGUGGAGCCGUCCUUGAAAUACCACCCUGGUAAUGUUGAGGUUCUAACUCUGUCCCGUGAUCCGGGACGAGGACCGUGUCUGGUGGGUAGUUUGACUGGGGCGGUCUCCUCCUAAAGAGUAACGGAGGAGUACGAAGGUGCGCUCAGCGUGGUCGGAAAUCACGCGUAGAGUAUAAAGGCAAAAGCGCGCUUAACUGCGAGACCCACAAGUCGAGCAGGUACGAAAGUAGGUCUUAGUGAUCCGGUGGUUCUGUAUGGAAGGGCCAUCGCUCAACGGAUAAAAGGUACUCUGGGGAUAACAGGCUGAUACCGCCCAAGAGUUCAUAUCGACGGCGGUGUUUGGCACCUCGAUGUCGGCUCAUCUCAUCCUGGGGCUGAAGCAGGUCCCAAGGGUAUGGCUGUUCGCCAUUUAAAGAGGUACGCGAGCUGGGUUUAGAACGUCGUGAGACAGUUCGGUCCCUAUCUACCGUGGGCGCUGGAAAUUUGAGAGGAUCUGCUCCUAGUACGAGAGGACCAGAGUGGACGAACCUCUGGUGUACCGGUUGUGACGCCAGUCGCAUCGCCGGGUAGCUAUGUUCGGAAGGGAUAACCGCUGAAAGCAUCUAAGCGGGAAGCCUACCUCAAGAUAAGAUUUCCCUAGGACUUUAUGUCCUCUAAAGAGCCGUUCGAGACUAGGACGUUGAUAGGUUGGAUGUGGAAGCAUAGUGAUAUGUGAAGCUGACCAAUACUAAUUGCUCGUGAGGCUUGACUAUACAACACCCA